rnacentral:misc_RNA from 1 species
GAAAUGCGAUAAGUAAUGUGAAUUGCAGAAUUCAGUGAAUGAUCGAAUCUUUGAACGCACCUUGCGCUCCUUGGUAUUCCUUGGAGCAUGCCUGUUUGAGUAUCAUGAAAUCUUCAAAGUAAAUCUUUUGUUAACUCAAUUGGUUUCUACUUUGGUAUUGGAGGUCUUUGCAGCUUCACACCUGCUCCUCUUUGUUCAUUAGCUGGAUCUCAGUGUUAUGCUUGGUUCCACUCGGCGUGAUAAGUUAUCUAUCGCUGAGGACACUGUAAAAGGUGGCCAAGGUAAAUGCAGAUGAACCGCUUCUAAUAGUCCAUUGACUUGGACAAUACUUUUAUGAUCUGAUCUCAAAUCAGGUAGGACUACCCGCUGAACUUAAGC